rnacentral:lncRNA from 1 species
CUGCUGGGCAUCUCGUGCGACGACGUGGAGUCGCACAGGGAGUGGACCAAGGACAUCGAGGCGUACGGCGGCGGGAAGCAGAAGGUGACGUACCCGAUCCUGGCGGACCCGGGUCGGGACGCCAUCCGGCAGCUCAACAUGGUGGACCCCGACGAGAAGGACUCCAACGGGGUGAGCCUGCCGUCCCGCGCGCUCCACGUCGUCGGGCCCGACAAGGCCGUGAAGCUGAGCUUCCUGUACCCGGCCACCACGGGGCGGAACAUGGACGAGGUGCUGCGCGCCGUCGACUCGCUGCUCACCGCCGCCAAGCACGGCGGCAAGGUCGCCACGCCCGCCAACUGGAAGCCCGGGGACCGCGCCGUCAUCGCGCCCAGCGUCUCCGACGAGGAGGCCAGGAAGAUGUUCCCGCACGGGUUCGAGACCGCCGACCUGCCCUCCAAGAAGAGCUACCUCCGCUUCACCAAGGUCUAGCUAGCUAGGUGUUCGACUGCGGACCUAGUUCGUUGCCGGCCGGCCGGCCGGCCGGCGGCGGCGUACGUGCGCGGAUCUUUUGUGCCACCGGCCUCGGCCUGCUGGUGCUUCUAGUCUGAACUGGUAUAUGGGCUGGGCUCUAUGUAUGCGGUGUAUGUUCAGUAAGUAUGCUGUAAGCCUGUAACGUCACCCGUCUCGUGUACGGGUGGAAAACAGUGCCGCUUAGCAACGUCCAUGUCCUCUUCUGAACUUGUCGCAGUGCACAUCUUGUAUAUGUGUGAGAUGUACUACGUGUCGUCUGCCCGUAAUCGGAAGUAUCCAGCCCGCCGAUGUGUUCUGGGAAAAAUGAUAGGUGCGUGCAUACUGCUGUCCCUGUCGCCGUGUCGCCAACUCACGACGUCGGCGGUUGGCUCGCAAGCAGCUCAUCGACUCUGAUCCCUUCGGCAGUUCGGCACUUCGGCUUAGAUCCCCCCAACACAGCAACGACCAUCGUCGUCGUGGGCUGGAGGAGCCUUCCGAGACGGGAUCCCACGGCCGGCCACCCAAAUUGGUUUCUGCGCGACGCCACGACUUCGAUUUCGACGAACACCUCGAGGGCAUCGCAGAUUUCCCACACAUGUAAUCGAAUCUACAUUAAAUAUAGACAAAAAUUUAAAUCGCGAGACGAAUUAAAUAUAGACAAAAAUUUAAAUCGCGAGACGAAUCGAAAAAAUAAAAACUCUAAUUAUACAGACGAAUCUUUUAAUCCUAGUUAAUCUAUAAUUAGACUGUAUUUGUUACAAACAAACAAAAGUGCUAACGAAAUUUAAAAUAUCUAAACAAGGCCCUCAUCUCAGCGAUGCCUACAUUGCACAAUAACACCUCAAGAGGCAUGAAUGAUAUUGAUAGAAGCUAAGAAGCGUCACAAUGGGUCAAGAGGCAUGAAUGAUAUUGAUAGAAGCGAGGAUGCCGUCUCCACGCGUCCUCCGUCCGAAAAAGGGUACGUAUGCUCUAUGCACGGAGUAUCUUUGGAUAGUGUACCUGUUCGGGGGCGCGUGCGGUCCGGCCGUUCGGAGGGAAUCCUGCGUCCGGGCACACUUUCGCUCAAAAUUUUUCCGCGUCCAGCAGUCUGUGCGUGUAUAGCAGAGGCUGUCCAUUCUACAGAGCCCACCUCAUCCAUAAUCCAUAUAUAUUCUCCACUUUUAUGAACAAAAUUUAAAAAGUCAUAGCUCCUAAACUAAAUAUCUAAAUCAAAAUCCGAUUACACUAUAGUGUUUCUUAUAAUAAAUCCUUCAAAACAAGAUCUCACAUGGAUAUAUUUAGAUAAAAUUUUAUUAAUAAAUAUUUAUCUUAUAAAGAUAUAACAUUUUUAUUUAUGAUAGAUAAUGUUCUAGGUUCAUAAAAUAAAUGUUCCAUCUUCGUAAGAAAAAUGUUCUCAGUUUAAAAAAUAGUGUUCUAGUUUAGAUUCAUGAAACUGAUAUUAUAAUAUUUAAAAUAAAUAAAUAAAUACAUCAUGUAAACAAAAAAAUAAAAUCUAGAGCAAAGCAUAAGGAAAAAAACACAUAGAGAAAAUUUUAAAAGAACAUCAUAUGGAUAGUUUUAAAACAUCCUAAAAAUAAACUAUAAAACAUCACAUGUGUACUAAACUGAACAUCACUAAAUACACUAUAGAAUACUAUUAAAUACAUUAUGGAACAUCGUAUAUAUAUUACGUGAACAUCACUAGAUAUAUCAUAGAACACCACAUGUGUACUGAGCGAACAUCACUAAAUUCACAAUAGAACAUCACUCAACACAUUAUAGAACAUUGUAUGUAUACUAAGUAAACAUCGUUGAAUUAACCACAAAACAACACUUAAUGUAUUAUAGAACAUCGCAUAUGAUGCAAAAAAAGAUUAAUAACAAAAAAAAUUAAGAAAUAAAACAUGAAUAAAAGAAAACAUAAUUAAAAAUUAAAAGAAAAAACAGAAUCAAAAGAAAAAAAUAAAAAUAAAAAAUAGAACAUCAGCACGUGAACAUCAAAGAAAAUAAUAAUAAUAAGAAAAAAAAUAAAAUAUACAAAACAAAGGAUAAUAUAAAACAAAAAAUGAAAAUAAAAAUAAAGCACAAAAAAGAUAGAAAAAGAAUCAAAUAGAAUAUAAAAUGAAAAAAAGAAAGAAAAAAGGAAAAAAAUUAAAGAAAAAAACAAAGAAAGAUUAAAAAAUAAAACAUGAAUAAAAGAAAACAUAAUUAAAAAAUAAAAGAAAAAACAAAAUCAAAAGAAAAAAAAUAGAACAUCAGCACGUAAACAUCACAGAAAAAUAAUAAGAAUAAGAAAAAAAAGAUAAAGAUAAAGAUACAAAACAAAGAAUAAUACAAAACAAAAAAGGAAAAUAAAAAUAAAGCACAAAAAAGAUAAAAAAGAACCAAAUGGAAUAUAAAAUGAAAAAAGAAAAAGAAAAAGGAAAAGAAAUUAAAAAAAAAAUAUAGCAAGAAGAAUAAAAAGAAAAAAAGAGAAGAAAACUAACAGCAACGAUCGGGAGGGAAAAAGAAAAGAAACAUAAAAAGAAAGAAAAAAGAAGAAAAGAAGAAAAGAAAAAACAAAAAAGAAAGAAAUAAAAAAGAAAAUAUACGUACCUAUCAACCUGUCACGCGCGCGCGAGAAUCAUCGCGCGGGAAUUAUCGGACGGCGUCUCUGGUCCGAACGUUCGGACUGGAAGAUUCCCGACCCUGUUCGGCUUGUACGAAACAUCUUCAAGAGUUUCCAAAAUCCACAUUCAAUCUUGAUUUUUUAGCAAGAUUAAAAAAACAUCUCUCCAACAAUUAACUAUCUUUUGCCAUCUGAAAAAAAAAAUCAAUCUUGAAAACAGCAAACUCAAGUCCGGAUAACUGGACCAUUUUUCUUUUUGACCAAAUUCGUCUGGCAUAACAAGGCACCGCCGCGUGUCAUGUUGUUCGCUUGGCUACUGUCUCAAGAAAGGAUACAAUGCAAGGCAAACCUGGUGAGAAAGGGCCGUCGUGGACAACACGAAUUGCGGUGUCUGCCAUGUCGCGGCGGAGGAGACCCCAACUCACAUCUUCGUAUAUGCCUCUGCGGCUAGUCAGUUCUGGAGCGCGAUUCAGAUUCAAACGGAUGCUGAUUAUUGGGCAAGUCAAUUUCUCAAGGAGAUUCAAUGGCCCACUCACAUACCGCGCAGACACUGGGGACAUUCUUACUGCUAUGUUGCUGGCACGACACUUGAUAAGUCAUGGCAGAAGUACUUGCUGACUGAUUUAUUUUUUUUUUAAAAAAACUGCUACUUGCUGACUGAUUUAUUUUUUUUAAAAAAAACUGCUAAAUGGUUGACAACAAGACAGGUGGAUAAAAAACCUAGUAUGUUAUAUAAGAAUCCAAAUCUACACGCUCCUUAGUUGACCAAAUACUUAAAUUAUAUAUAUAGAAAAAGAAACACGCGUUAUGGACUCAGAAAAUUAUAUUCAUAGAUGCGUUUAGCUAGCUGUAUAUAUGUCAACUAACGGCCAUAUAUACGCACCGACAACUAAGAGCCUAAAAAUUACCAACUGCAACAGGGUGUUGAUGAACUCCAAACAUCCCAAGCUAGCAAUAACUAGCUGUAUAUAUAUAAAUAUACAUAUAUACUGUAUGUCUUGGUUGAGGUCGAGGGCAAUUCAAAAUAAUCUAGCAAGUCUUCUUGUUGACCAAAACCACCAAAAGUCAAUUCCUCUCUCGCAGAGAACCAGUGCCGGCCGUCUGUGUGCUCUACUGCUCUCCAUGUCGUUCCCUGCUGAGUGCUGACUGCUGAGCAACGUGCGCACCAAAAACAUUCCGAUUUCUGAACACGCUCAGUAGUCUAGUCCCCGAGCAGCAGCUAUAAAUACACAUGCAACACAGCAGCUCCCCUUCAUCCCAACAUUCCAACCUUCUCCGAUCACCAAGCAGUGAUCUCUCAAGCUGAUUUAUCACACACUCGAGCGCGGAAAAAACGCUCGUAUACACGGUUGCAGAGAUGGCCGCUAAGCUCGCCGUUCUCGGCACCUUAGUAGUGCUCGCGCUGCUCGGUCCUGUGUCGUCCCAACAAGCCGGCUACGGCUAUGGUGGCGGCAGUCCUACACCUACGCCGCCACCUGCUUAUCCUCCGACGACGAGCCCGAGCCCGACCCCGAGUCCACCACCUGCUUAUCCUCCGACGAGCUCGACUCCGAGUCCGCCUACUUAUUCAUCUCCAAGUCCAGCCCCGCCGCCACCUGCUGCAUAUCCUCCGACGACAAGCCCGACGCCGAGCCCGCCUACUACCUAUCCUCCUCCGACACCUGCUAGCCCACCACCACCAUCACCUGCCUCUGGGCCUGCACUGAGUGUCGGAUACUACAACGACAAGUGCCCCGGCGCGGAAGCCCUCGUGCGGGAGGCCGUGCGCGCCGCCGACGCCGGCAUCAAAGCAGGGCUUGUCCGUUUGUUCUUCCACGACUGCUUCGUCCAGGGCUGCGACGCCUCCGUUCUGCUCAAGCCCGACAACGACACCAACCCGCAGCCGGAGAUACUCGGCAUCCCCAACCUGAGCCUGCGCGGCUUGGACGUCAUCGACGCGGCGAAGAAGGCGCUGGAGGAGAAAUGCCCGGGCGUCGUUUCCUGCGCCGACAUCGUCGCCUUCGCCGGCCGCGACGCCAGCUUCUUCCUCAGCGGCGGCGCCAUCAACUUCACCAUGCCCGCGGGCCGCUACGACGGGAAGGUGUCGAACGCCAGCGAUACCCUCCCUAACCUCCCCCCGCCGUUCGCCGACGUCGCGCAGCUUAAGGCCAUGUUCGCCGCCAAGGGGCUCGACACCAUCGACAUGGUCGCGCUCUCCGGCGCGCACAGCAUCGGCCGCUCCCACUGCUCGUCCUUCAGCAGGGACCGCCUCCCGCCCAGCAACACCUCCGACAUGAACCCGGCGUUCGCCACACAGCUCAAGGCGAACUGCACGUCGCCGUCCGGCGCCGACAACACGGUGGCGCAGGACUACAGGACCCCUGACCAGCUGGACAACCAGUACUACUGGGACGUGAUCAACCACAAGGUGCUCUUCGCGUCGGACGCCGCACUCCUCAAGUCAGGCGACACCGCAGCGCUGGUGUAUGCAGCCGCCUUGUUUCAGAAGGAAUGGCAGGACAGGUUUGGAAAAGCCAUGGUGAAGAUGGGUGGAGUCGAGGUGAAGACGGCCGCCAAUGGUGAGAUCAGACAGAUGUGUGGCUACGUCAACAAGCCCUACUCCGGUUGAGGCCGGAUCGACGAUGAUCAGUUGAGCUUGAGUCCUCCCCACGUGUCUCUUAAAACCUAGCAAACAUGUCAGAGAUCGAAAACACAUAUUAUAUGCUCCUCUCUUUCUUGGUUUAUUUCAAUUCUUUCUGGAUUUCGAUCCUUUUUGUUACUUGAUUUUUUUGUUAUAAAAUUGACUGCACCACCAUUUGAAAUUCCAGCAUAUUGUAUUCAAAUAAUAUUGACAUAUGUUUUUUGUCAGCACUGUUCAGAAUGCAUAUUUGUCUUGUACAUUGUGCACUUGUGCCACCCCCGUUCCCAACUUUUACCCACAACCCUAACUUUUACCCUCCCGCGAGCGUACCCACGGGUAAGAUUUUGUACUUGUGUCCACGCCCAGUGGAUUUAUUUAAGAGAGAUCAAAUAAUAAAAUUAUAGUGAUAUAAAAUAAUAAAUUCAUAAUUAAACGACAUGCAAAUAUGUCAAUCUCACUUACAUGGAGUUUAUUAGGACUAUAUAGUAGCUCACAAGCCACAAAUACAUCAUAGAUUCAUAUUCGGUCAUUCAUGUUCAUACAAAUAACACAAAACAACUUACACAACAUACAAAUAACACAAAACAAGUUACACAAUAACUAAAGUAACAAGUUAAUAGCUCACACAAUCACUUUAUUCAGCCAUCCAUUAAAAAAUAUCAUCUUUAUAGUUUGACAUGCUAUGCUUAUAUAUGCUACAAAUUACAUGCUAAAAUGAGGUAGUCUACAUGAUAUGCACAUAUAUGACAUAGGUGACAUAUUUCAUAUAUGUAAUCCCAAAUUGCGGGUACCUGUCGGGUACUGCAGGUAAAAUUUGAUAUCCGAACCCUACUCGCAUUCUUGAGGUGUACCUGACCCUCAUGUAACCCCGGAUAAGUUUUUGUACCCAUGCCCACACCCAUCAGGUACGAAACUUGCAGGUACAAUUGCCAUCCCUAGUCAACCAUGAGGUUGGGGCGUUCGAUUGGGAAGCACCCUAUAUGCAUCACAUCCUAAACGUGCAGUGGAGACAACUAUUACAAUUGUAAAGUAUUGUCGUCGGUGAUACUGACAACACUACACCCUUUUUGUUUCACAACGUUUCUCCACUCUGCGUGGUAUAAUACCUGGCUAAUAUUUGGAAGAACUUUAACCAAAUUUGUCCUCAUAAUUAUAUACAACAAUAAUUCUAUUUACAUAAUUUAUAUAAUAUAAAAUCUAAAUCCAGAUGCUCCUUUAUUAUCCAAAUAAGUAAAAUAUAGAUUAAAAACACGCGCUAAUAAUGGAGUUAGAAAAUUCAUAGACGCGUUUAGCUGUACGCACCGACAACAAAUAAACAGCUUAAAAUUCUCUGCUGCAAGUGGCCGGAUGAACUCCAAACAUCCCAAGCUAAUAGCUGUACUGUAUGUCUUGCUUGAGGUUGAGAAUACUUUUCAAUGUUCUAGCAAGUCUUCUUGUUGACCAAAAACCACAAAGUCAAUUCCUCUCCAGCAGAGAACCAGUAGUGCAUGAGUCUUGUUUAGUUUCAAAAAUAUUUUGAAUUUUGGUAUUAUAGUAUUUUCGUUUUUAUUUGACAAAUAUUAUUUAAUUAUGGAUUAACUAGGUUUAAAAGAUUCAUCUCGUAAUUUACAGACAAACUGUACAAUUAGUUUUAUUUUUGUUUUAUUUAAUGCUCCAUGCAUGUGCCGCAAAAUUUAAUAUGACGGAGAAUUUUGAAAAGUUUUUCAUUUUUAAGGUGAACUAAACAAGGCCCAAGCUUAUUUAAUUUAAUCGGGCAAAUUUUGGGAGCUAUAUAUUGUCGGCUGUACGUGUGUGCUCGGCAUGUUCAUGUGCUGAGUGUUGACUCUUGCUGUCUUGCACCGCUGCGCGUCGGUACACUACGACGUGCGCUCCAAAAAACAUUCCGAACACACUCUCCAGUUGUCCAGCCCCCCGUCGAGCACGCAUAAAGCCGCGCUGAGGUUCCGCAACAGCGGCGCCAUGGAGCAUGGAAAGAGUCCCGGGGCGGCGGCGGCAGAGGGAAAAAAAAAUCGGUUGUUUGCUUAAGGCAAAACAACCUGUUAUCAAUUAGCAAUAUAAUUCUGAAAAAGAAAAAUACUUGUGGUUACAUGUCGGCACGACCAGCUAUGCCUAGGAGUUAAGCCCCCAAGCGGCAUGAAACCUGAGAAAGCCAUGCUAUCAUCGGACACGACACGACCUAAAUGCCACUUCUAAUUGAUGAGAGUGCCAUGCUCAGACUCAUUGGACACAUGAACUCAGUCCCACCGAGACAUAUUGUCUAGCUAAAUUUUCACAUAAAGAUUUUGACAAACUUAUUUUUGAUUGGUGAUGACCCACGUAUCAGCCAUGAUAGAAAGUACUAUUGACUAAUUUAUUGUAAGAGAAAAACACCGCUAAAUAACUGUCAGAUUCGGCUGAUAAGCUCAAGCGAACAGACUAGAAUACGGUUGGGAGUCGGGACAAGCUAGGCCAGUGCUGAGCUUGAAGGAGAUGCAUGUGUAUGCGCGAAAAGAGAGAAAAUGCACAAAGGACCAAUGUGUUUUAGCAAUUAGGAAGUCAUUUACCUUUUUUUCAAUUUCGAUCAAAAACAAGUUUGAAAUCUUUAUAAAAUAGUUCAAAAAAAUCUUUAUAAAUUAUAAAAGGUCUAUAUCACCCCAAAGGUUUGCAUGGUCAUCUACUGAACAUCUGCCUAUAAACACAUAUUAAACUUUGUAAAAGUAGACAAAGAAUCACUUGAUUUAUUAUUGACGUAUGAUUUUGCUUAGUUGGCACUCUAUGCCAGCUAGCUUUGGCACCAUAGCGCUUAGACCCACCUGUCAGCCUGUGG